UAGCUUAAUAUUUUUGCAGUGCUUGGAACUACAAAGUUCAAAAUUCUUUUUAUUUAAAUUUGAACUUGCAACUAAUAGGAAUUAUGAAGACAAGCGGCAUUCUUUUGUAGAAUCACUUCUAUAGUGUCUACAGUUUGCUGUUAAUUUGAUUGAGAAGGGGAGUAUAUUUUAAUGAUUCGCAUUUCGUAAACAUGCCCGUGCCGAGCGGUUCAGCGGUGACAGCUCCCCUCCAGCUGCAGAACACCGCGCUUUCUCUAGAAGUUGCCCAGGCAGAAGGGUCCUCUUUCGCCUACCCGAGGGUUGCUCUGGUGGUCGUGCUGCUGUUUUUAGCGUUUGGCGGAUCUGAAAGAUUGGGAGACAGGACAGAAUCUGGAACAGCAGUGCAUCACACAGCACUGCCUGCUCCACAUACCGGUGCUGAAGCCUCUCAUCCUGUGUGACCCCUGGGCGCGGGUUGGCUUCUGUGAGAGGCACUGAGCCUUCAUGAAGAAACAUUGCUCCAGGAUCUGUGACAUAUGCUUCGAGCCUCUUGAACGGGAACCCACCACGGCAACCCCCCACUCUAACAUGAAGACCAUGUUGGUGCCCCGCGGACAGCAGAUCGUCACCUUCCGCUGGUUAUAUAUAUUUUUGUUUCUGCUUUUGUAUUCAAGCCCAAACAGAUUCCACAGUUACACAAUGCACGGUGCUGAAGUGCAAUAUAUUGAGCGCACGGCUCCCAGCAGAAAACUUUCAUGUCUUUAGAUGCAGCUGAUCCUUCAUUUAAAAGACAGUGUCUGGGAUGAGGAGGGUAAUUAAUGAACCUGUAUGCUUUACAGACACCUGCGCUGCAACCUGUGUGCAGACUCACUGUGCAUGGAACCUCCUUGAUGCUGCAUGUAUAACAGUACUACAGAGCUGCAUUUUACAGUACACUGCAGUUCAGACUGUAGUACACAAUAUAAGCUAUAUAGGGCCUUGAGUAAAACCUUGAUUAGUUCAAAUCAUUGGGGUGGUGGAUAGCAGAUGGUAUGCUGUUUAUGAAUUCAACUGAACUAUAUCAGAGAUUGAGGGCUUAGUGUAUUCUCUAUGACAAUAGGGCAGAAGAGCACAGCACACUACAUGGCAGGUUACCUGCUGGGAUAAUUGGGGUUCAGGUGAUCAGGGAUUACCAUACCCACCCCCCAAUCCAUUAAUAUAUACAAAUCCAUCUAAUAGCGUAAUUAAAGUACUUAAUUAAAAUGGCAACGUUGGAAAACUUUACCAAGGCCCAAACUGAUAAAUAUUUGCACGAGUCUUUGAGGAUUGUCUCAAUAUAUGUAACUUUAUCAU